GUCUAAAUGAGUAUCACGAUAAAAUAAACUCGCACUCUGAUAUCUGAUACAUAUAACUGUAUGAUGACUUCCCUGAAAUUGUAAUAGUUAAUUUAGUAGUUCAGUACAUUCUGCGAUUACAAUAAACGCACGCAACUAUAUCUGAAUUAACGGUAGUUGCAUAGAUACCAAAAAGUAGAAGUCAUUUCUACACAGAACCUCUCAAUAUAAUUCUUCUGAAUGUUUCGUUUUCAAUUUUGUUUUCGUUUUUAAAUCGGUAUUUUGUCAUAUUUUUUGUCAGAAGAGCUUCCGAAAUGACAUUGUUGCUGAAUUUCACUUUGCAUGAUCAUCUGGUUGGUGGUCACACACAGAAACAUAUUAUUAGAUGUCACGGAGAAAUAACUUCGAUGAAUGUUUGAAAAUAAUUGGUUCGCAGUUUCCGUGAAAAUUGUCAAAACGUAAUUUCAUUAUGUACUAUGUGUAUAGUAUGGUUCUCUCCGGUGCAAUAUACAGUUCAUUCUGGUAAUAGAUCCAAACUGAUAACUGACAGGAAAUCAGUAAAGCUAGUAAGAUGAUAACGUCUGUCAAUCAAUAGUUUAUUAAUAAUAGUCUUCUCUUUUUUUUUUUUUUUUAGAUAUUAUUUUAAAAAUAUGUGUGCGUUAUAGGUUGUAAAAUUAAGUUAAAUGUCAAAUUCAAUAUAUAGCUUCUUUUUAAAUUCAUUUAAGUUUUCAUGAAACUGAGUAUGUUUUUGUUACAUUUAUAAUUCUUGUACCUUUGAUAACUAAUUACCAGCAAGUUUGAUAAAGAUAACUUUAGGGCAAAUGAUUGUUGAGUGAAUUUUGUUGUGUGUAAUAAUGUAGGUCAUUCAGUUUGGAUGGUUAAAGGGUUGUCUGUUGGUUUGUUUUUUCUUUCUUUUAUAGUCAUGACAUUGUCAGUUUAUAUUUCGCUUUAUGACUUUGCAUGUUCCUUUUGUAUCUUUCGCCUCUUUUUUUAACGACAUAUUAUUUGCACUCAAACAGAGUCUCCUUAUAAUAACUUGUUUUCUUAUCUACUAUCAAUAGACAUGUUUACACUAACAAUGACUAUGUCUCCUUAUUUACCCUUAAACCAAGUCCUUUCGUAAGGACAAUCAUACAGCGCCUUUUAAUCAUAUUGAUUCUUUUUAUCAUGUUUUCGAUAUGUUACUAUCAAUGAGGCCACACAUACUUAUUAACGAUACUGUCAUAUCUCCUUGUUGACAAUCAAACCCCAUCUCACUAUUUAUAUAUUUUCAAUGAUAUACAACAUCUCAUAAUUGACAAACAUACCACAUCUUCUUGUUUAAAAUCGUACCACAUCUCAAUAUUGAAAAUCG
rnacentral:lncRNA from 1 species